ACAACUAUAUGCGAUAGGAUUAAGCAGUCUGCGGAAGGGGCUAUUCAAGCUGUCAUUGAGUUUGUUACAAAGAGGGGAGCUGAGCUGAGUGAAACUGAUGUUUCAAGGACUACUCAAUCUUUGCUCUCCGCUGCAGCUCAUGUGACCGAGAAACAUUUACGGUUGGAAACUCUUGGGGCUAUUUCCUCUCUAGCAGAGAACACCAAUUCAAAAUUUGUUUUCAAUGAAGUAUUGGCUACU